GUGCCAGCAGCCGCGGUAAUACGGAGGAUGCAAGCGUUAUCCGGAUUCAUUGGGUUUAAAGGGUGCGUAGGCGGCUAUUUAAGUCAGUGGUGAAAUCUUGCCGCUUAACGGUAAAAUUGCCAUUGAUACUGAAUAGCUUGAGUACAGUUGAGGUAGGCGGAAUGUGUAGUGUAGCGGUGAAAUGCUUAGAUAUUACACAGAACACCAAUUGCGAAGGCAGCUUACUAAACUGACACUGACGCUGAUGCAUGAAAGCGUGGGGAUCGAACAGGAUUAGAUACCCUGGUAGUCCACGCCGUAAACGAUGCUCACUCGCUGUUUGCGAUACACAGCAAGCGGCCAAGCGAAAGCAUUAAGUGAGCCACCUGGGGAGUACGAUCGCAAGGUUGAAACUCAAAGGAAUUGACGG
rnacentral:rRNA from 1 species